UUGUUCAUAAAAGAUAUUUCAACUAAAUCAUAAAAUAAAAUAUAUAAAAUGGAACACAAAAACAUCAUAGUUUUAGAUAUAUAUGUUUUUAAGUCGGGUACAAAUCGGUUCUUAUCGAAUCGGGUCUAUUCGGGUCGGUUUUUUUUGGGUCCGGAUCUAUUCGGAUCGGUUUCUUUUCGGUUUCGGUUCUUUCGGGUAAAAAAAAUUUAAACCCAAAAAAUACUUGUACAUUUUCGAUCCGGUUCCGGGUCGGGUAUUUUGGGUCGGUUCCGGUUCGGGUCUUCGGAUCCAGAUUAAAAUGCGCAGACCUAGUUAAACAUAUACAAUUCCACAUACACAAGCCGAUAAAUUUAACAGAAACAAUCCCAUAAUCAAAUACACAGAAACAAAGAAACUCUGACUAGAGACGACCAAAGCCGAAUAUAAUCUAUACUUAAAUCAUCAUUCAUAGUUAAGUUAAGAAGCAAGAAAAAAGGUUGUUCAAAAAAAAAAAAAAAGAAGCAAGAAAAAUAGACGGAAAAUAAAAUGAAUAAAAUAACAAAAAGGAGCUGACGAAAGGUCAACUCCACCAAGCUGGCGAGGACAAAACUUCUGCGAUUACGUUAAAAUCGGGUCCCACUUCUAAAUCAGAUCUUAUGGCUGACGACCAAAGUUUGACCCGCUGCUCUCUCAUCAACUGCUCCUCUCUCUCUCUCUUUUUUCGUCCGUUAUGACUUAUGCUCAUACCAGUUAUCAUUAUUUUUUUUUUAUUUUUUUUUUUUGAAACUCAUUAUUUUUAUUUUUUUGUCUGCAAAAAAUGUAUUCUGUGUUGCAUUUCCAAGAAAUCACAUGCAUUCUUCAUCUAAUCAGAGGACCAGAGUUUAUCAUGAAAUCACAUGCAUUUUUACUGUAUAAAUUCAUAUUCAUGGGAUCCGCUUAGACUGAUCCAUUUUAGUUGUUCAAGUGUUAGAAACUUCAGAGGUGAAUAGGGUUUGAUUUUUUUUUUUUGUUUCUGUGAUUUCAGCUAUAGUAUACCCUCUAUGCAUAUCUUAAAUAACAAAAGCACUUAACAUUAGACAUAGAAAUUUAAUAUUAAUUUGGACAGUUAUCAGCCAAAAUUUAUAUUUAUUAACCACUAAUAUUUUAAAACUAACGCAUAAUAGCUAUCGUUAAUUUAACCACUAUCACUAUGCAUAUUGUUAGCUACUUCCAAGCGAUCAGAAUUAUAUAAAUUGCUACUUGUAUUAGUUAUAACUUAUAACUUUGUAAGAAGUACAAUGGUAUCGUGAUUCAAAGCGUUAUAUUUUAUUUUAUCGUUUUAUUAUACAUGAUGUUUU
rnacentral:lncRNA from 1 species